AACGCGCAGAACCUUACCUAGCCCUUCGACGAUCCCGGUCGCGGAUCGCAGAGAUGCUUCUUCAGUUCGGCUGGACCGGUGACAGGUGCUGCAUGGCUGUCGUCAGCUCGUGUCGUGAGAUGUUGGGUUAAGUCCCGCAACGAGCGCAACCCCCGCCUUUCAGUUGCCAACGGUUCGGCCGUGCACGUCUGGAGGAACUGCCUGUGACAAGCAGGAGGAAGGUGGGGAUGACGUCAAGUCCUCAUGGCCCUUAUGGGCUGGGCUACACACGUGCUACAAUGGCGGUGACAGAGGGAUGCAAUACCGCGAGGUGGAGCAAAUCCCUAAAAGCCGUCUCAGUUCGGAUUGUUCUCUGCAACUCGAGAGCAUGAAGUUGGAAUCGCUAGUAAUCGCGGAUCAGCUCGCCGCGGUGAAUACGUUCCCGGGCCUU
rnacentral:rRNA from 1 species